rnacentral:rRNA from 1 species
CCUACUCCUACGGGAGGCAGCAGUAGGGAAUCUUCCACAAUGGGCGCAAGCCUGAUGGAGCAACACCGCGUGAGUGAAGAAGGGUUUCGGCUCGUAAAACUCUGUUGUUGAAGAAGAACGUGCAUGAGAGUAACUGUUCAUGCAGUGACGGUAUUCAACCAGAAAGUCACGGCUAACUACGUGCCAGCAGCCGCGGUAAUU